CCUACGGGAGGCAGCAGUGAGGAAUAUUGGUCAAUGGACGAGAGUCUGAACCAGCCAAGUAGCGUGAAGGAUGACUGCCCUAUGGGUUGUAAACUUCUUUUAUAUGGGAAUAAAAUGUUCCACGUGUGGGAUUUUGUAUGUACUAUAUGAAUAAGGAUCGGCUAACUCCGUGCCAGCAGCCGCGGUAAUACGGAGGAUCCGAGCGUUAUCCGGAUUUAUUGGGUUUAAAGGGAGCGUAGGUGGGUUGGUAAGUCAGUUGUGAAAGUUUGCGGCUCAACCGUAAAAUUGCAGUUGAAACUGGCAGUCGUGAGUACAGUAGAGGUAGGCGGAAUUCGUGGUGUAGCGGUGAAAUGCUUAGAUAUCACGAAGAACUCCGAUUGCGAAGGCAGCUCACUAGACUGCAACUGACACUGAGGCUCGAAAGUGUGGGUAUCAAACAGGAUUAGAUACCCGAGUAGUC
rnacentral:rRNA from 1 species